rnacentral:tRNA from 1 species
GCCUGAGUGGCUUAGUCAGUUGAGCGUCUGACUUCGGCUCAGGUCAUGAUCUCGUGGUUUGUGAGUUCAAGCCCCACAUGGGGCU